rnacentral:lncRNA from 1 species
UUGUGAUCUUGGUCCAAACCUCUUUUUCCUCUCACUGAAGGAUUCUCCCAGCAACCUCCAAGCAACCAGUCAAGAGACGCUGCCCUGAAUUUUUGGUCCUCAGCUAUAGAACAAAGAAGUCUUUGAGGUUUAACAAGAGGCUGCUCAGCUCUCUGGCCCCUGGGCUACUAAGAUCUAGAUUGGGAGCCUGGACUGCCACAUGUGUAAGGGACGGAGCCUCGGAUCAGGGCUGCCAGCUGGUGCCCUCCAAAGGCAGUAUCUCACCUCCUGCCCACCCUCCUCCCAACCCUCAGGAGGGUGCUUGCAGUGAGAUGAGAUGCCGCAGGGAAUAAAAACCACCAGCACCCCCUCAGCGUCCCUCCACUGUGUCAGGAUCACAGACAGUGAGCCCCAGCCCCCAGCCCAGCCCUCUCUCCCCUGGAGGGAAACCAGCUUAAAUUUGACUGUCUCAGAGGUAGGAGAUGUUGGGCAGCAGUCAAGAAAAAGUUCACCUCUCCAAGCUUUACCAUAGGCAACUGGCCACCACCCCUCCUCACUCCAGCGGUUUGAAUGGUUUGCUCCUAACUGUGCCCUCUGCAUUUGCCUUCAUCCAUCUCCAUUCUUCUUUACGGUCAACAUGCCAGGACCCUACAUCUUCUCCCACAUCAGUUGUUCACAGGGGCUCCUUCCCAUGGAGUUCUGUCUAAUGGCUUCCCAAACCUGAGUCUCAUGGACAUGUCCACUCUUCUUGUCCAAUAUCUCAGGAGCCUUGAAUACUGCUGACCACUAUGGUUGUAGGGUGGUGGUAGGGUGGUGGUAGGAUGGUGUAGGGUGGUGGUAAGGUGGUUGUAGGGUGGUGUACAGUGGUGGUCAGGUGGUGGUAAGAUGGUAUAGGGUGGUGUAGAGUGGUAGGGUGGUGGAAGGAUAGUGUGAUAGGGUGGUGGAAGGGUGGUUGUAGGGUGAUGUAGGGUGGUGGUAGGGUGGUGGAAGGGUAGUUUUAGGGUGGCAGGGUGGUGGUACAGUGGUGGUAGAGUGGUGGUAAGGUGGUGUAGGGUGACGGUAGGGUGGUGUAGGGUGGUGGAAAGAUAGUGGUAGGGGGGUGUAGGGUGGUGGUAGGGUGAAAAUAAAGCUACAUGUAUAUAUUGAGGUCUGGCACACAGUGUUUAAAACAUGUUAGCUCUCUCUUCCCUGCGUACUCUCAAGAGUGUAUGUAUGGUGUUGAGUGUACCCUGGGCCCUGGCUCUGGGUCAUUCAGCAAUGACUGAGGAGGGCUGGAAACAAGGAGGUGCCUGUGGAGAACAAAUCCACUUCUGGUUACUGGUUUGAGACCUGGUAACAGUGGCCAUCCCCGACCUUCUUGGGCUGCCAUCUUUGAAGACCACCAUCCCUAAGGUGAACAGAGAUGGUUCAGAGAUUUUUCCUUUAUCUUUCCAUAGAGGAAGUACAACCAGAAGUUGGGAUGAGUCGGCCUUGAGAUGGAAGAGAUUUGAGAUACCCCACUUUUCCCAGUGACUGCUUUGAUAAGCAGACAGUCUUCCUUUCUCUUUCCUUUGAAGAUUUUGGUCCAAUUUGCAAAGGAGCUAGUAUCCCAGUUGUUUUAAGAAUGUAUAGUCCUGGAGGCAGACACCAACUGAGAAAAUG